AUGACCACAGUCCCGGCUUACGGCACUGGCCUUACUUUUAGGACAGGGAAGCUGAGACAAAGUGGGGCGAUCAAAGAACUGGAAUUUGAACUGCGUCUGAGUGACUCGGAAGCCCCGGACGAGUGGCGCCCCCGAGCCGGCAAAACUCCACCUCGAUGGGCGUCCGAGUUGAUGCAAGCGGCCUUUCGUCGAAGGACCGGUGCCGGUUGCACCGCGCUUCCCUUCUCCCGCCCGGGUCACCACUCAGGGCGGUGGGAGCCGGUGCAGGCAACGCGCUUUGAUCGCGGAGCGCACCCUGCCGGAGGACUGCAAUCUUGCUCGCUCGCUUCCCUCCCCAUCCCCCAGUCUGUCUGGGACCACUCCACUUCUCCUUCUCGAGGCCAACCCAGUUUUUCAGGUGACAAAGGUGAGCAGAAGAAAUUACUGCCCUACCUGGAGCUCCGAUAAGGGUUCAGAAUCCUCAGGAAUGAAGGUUGGAGUCAGCCCCCUGGACCAAGAACUUUCACCAAGAAGGAAGCCUCAGCCCAUGACCUGCAUCCAUAUGGCUGUAGCCUCCAUCUGAAGCCACAUGGAAUAUUUACGCUUCCCCACCAAAAAAAAGAAGUGUUGAGUAGUUCUUGCUAUGGUAUAGUGGGUUAAGAACCCGACUGCACAACUCUA
rnacentral:lncRNA from 1 species